ACCAGGCUGGAGUGCAAUGAUGCGAUCUCGGCUCACUGCAGCCUCUGUCUCCCAGGUUCAAGCAAUUCUCCUGCCUCAGCCUCCUGAGUAGCUGGGAUUACAGGUCACGACCCCCAGGAGACCUGGAGGACUGAAUGCUGCUGCCCCCAAGGAGGAGGCUGCCGUCUUAUCCCAGGAGGGAGAGCAGGUGAAGUCCCCAGGGGAGGAAGCACCUAGCCCCAUUCCUGCUGAGCAGGAGGUGGCAGGUACCCCAGACUGGGAGGUAAGGACAGCCCGGGGCUUCGACUGAACGUCUCCAGCGUGGGUCCAACUGAGCAGCCAUGGAGCACUGCAGAGUGGGAGGCAGCAGGGCAGGGAGGCAGUGCUGGAGGCUGGCUCAACCCCAAGACCAGCAGGCCAAGCUGCCAUCCCAGGGGAGCGAGGACGUCUGUGCAGAGCUGAGAGGCAGCAGCCAUGUGUGAACAGACUGGGCCUCAUCCUGGCCCACCGACUUUGUGUGGACAGAGCCUGUUUCCCUGUCUGUGCAACACAGAACCUGCCUGAUCUCACUGCUGGAUCCCUCUUCUUCCUGCCAGGAAAAUAAAAAGGUUCAAAAGGAAGUUGCUGCGUAUCCAUCUGAGGCCUCUGAGGACAGCAAAGAGCAAAGGCCCUGGGACCGGGUCUACGUGCCCAUGACAGAGCUCUGGCUGGACUGGUUCUGAGCCUCUAACACCCCCAAGACUCAGAACCGUGAAGAAAAUCUUUCCAAUAAAUCCAAGAGUUGCUGCUGCUAUAGGCCAGGCUGCCACCUUUCGGGGCCUCCGUCUUCAGACAAACCCAGCCUGGCUUCAUCCACACUCCCUGUCCCCACAGCUGCAGGAACAGCACUUCCUGCCACCGAGCCGUGUGACCACAGUGGAUUGUCUCUGGAGGGGCCCAAGGGGGCCCUGGCCACCCUUCUGACUGACUCGGUGCCAGGGGACAGACCAACGUCCCUCUCGUGCUGACAGCCGGGCCGCACCCUGGCAUGAGGGCAUUUACAGAAAUGCUGGCGGAACUGCUGCCAGGGAGGCUGUAGGGUCCUCUGGCAAAAGAGGCCUCAGGUGGCUCCUCA